UUUCCGUUGGUGAAUCAGCGGAAGGAUCAUUAUCGAAACAAAAACAAAAAAACCCCGUUGAACCUAUAUCCGAAAAUAUAAUUAUUACCAUAAAAAGCCAUUGAAACAAAACAAAAAAACAAAAAAAAGCUGAAACAAAACAAAAAAACAAAAAUCAAGAACACAACUUUUAACAACGGAUGUCUUGGUUCUCACAUCGAUGAAGAACGCAGC
rnacentral:misc_RNA from 1 species